UUGGUGUUCAUGUUGUUUUAUUUCUACUAACCAAUUCACUGGAUUAAACAGAAAUGCAUCAUGGGAAUUCACUAGAGUAAUUUUGCCCAAAAACUUUACUUGAUGAUGUAUGCUAAAUCAGGUAUCGCAGAGAAACACAAUUCCACCCAGGCAAACAGAGCAGCUCAAAUUUUUACUAUCAAAAAUAGUGUACACACAAUAUACUAUGCUAAAAAUUAUUUCCAGAAAUGAUCUACAGAAGUCAGUGCCUUUGAAAAAAGGUACUGGUGCUUUAAAGACUUAUCUAAAGCACAUUUUUUUCUGGUUGAAUUCAAAGGCCUUAAAUGUAUUUUCUUGGAUUUCAGAAAGAGUUUUUAUUCUGGAUACCAGUGCUGCACUUGCAAGUUUUGAUGAAGUUAUCAUAAAACAGCAUCAAUUGUUUUGCUGAUAUCAGUCAAUUAUUUCUACAUUUCUGUUCUCUGCAUAUUUUGUGUUUCUCAUCACAAGAUAAGCCAACUUUGCUUUUACAAGGUUUAUUCUUUGUAAGUCUAGUAAUGCUGAUCAUUAAUGAUUCCACUGCUGUUUGAGGACUUGAAAAAGAUUCUCUAGGAGACCUGUGUGCAGCUGCCUACAUCUUCCUGGGAGCCUCUUUGCAUAGACGGGUUUAGAGGAAAUUCAGAAACCCACCCAGGAAGGUCUCUUCAUGAAACACAGGCCCAAAAGCAAUUCUCAACAGAGGAAAGACUUUGCUCUACAGGCUCUCUUAUUCUUUUACAUCUGGCAGUGAAUAUUUUGGCUUGUACCAAAAGCAUUAAUCUUCUUUGCGCAAUAUGGAUCAUCAACUCAGAAAGGAAUUUACGGUGGCCUCCAGAGAAAGUUUUCUGUCAGUGCCAAAAGGCAAAGCAGCUGGACAGACAGACUGUGCUAAGACCGUUUGCUAAGUUCUAACUUAGCCCUGUCUCCAUGACAGCCCUAGUUGGAGCAAAUGUUCAGGUCGUACUGCUCAAACAGCAGGGAGCAAAGGCAGAACGAAGCAACACAAUCAAAGCACCACAACUAUAACUCUGCAUUUGACUUCCUGUAAAAACUUGUACAAACCCUAUUAUGAAUCCGUACUUGAUAAAGCUGGGACAGCUGUUCCAUCUGCAAACCAAUUGGAUAGAAUAGGAAGAAGGAAAUUUUGCCAGAGUGAAAACUAGACUUGCAUUUUAGAGGCUGAAAAAUCUAAGUACCUCUAAAUACUGUAUUUAUCUCAGCUUCACAACACAAUUAAUCAAACUGCUGGCUUCCACGCAUGCUUAUGCCACCAAAGGCACAGGAUUUCGACACUGAGGAAACUGGACUUUCACAGAAGUAUAUAAAGGUGAUUUUACUCAGCAUACACAGCCUGCUGAGUCAGUGAUGCCUAACAUGAGGUAUAACAUUGCUUACAAUAGUGAGACUUUGUGUUGGAUGGAGGAAUGAUCGAUGAGAAAGAAUGACUGAAAGUCCACACUAAAAUUUUAAAUCACCCCAGUUUAGAAGAAAGAAAAAGGAAAUGUUCUGUCAAAGAGAAAAUCAGAAUGAGCACUCCUUACAUGGUAGAUAAACCAUCUCAAAGUAGGCAUUUUACUUAUUAUAAUCCAUACAGAAUUACAUUGAUUCCAUUAAAGUAUUUCAGAUAAUGCCUGCUGCUUUAUACAAUGUACUGGUAUUUCACUUUAGAGCAGCAGCUAUAUCCACUGGGUUUGCAGGCAAGUUUAUUUUCCAGCCCCUGGUGGAAAAUAUUUCUGCUGAACCCCCUGGUGUUUUUCCAGCAUCUUAUUGCUAAGGCUAAACCAAAUACAUGCUAUCUAUUACUUUAACUUGUGUUUAGCUGAGCCAUUAAACAUAGUAUUACACUGUACUCUUGCAAACUUCAUAGACUGAAGGAUUUAAGAUUAAAUGACAGGCUUCUCUAGAAGCCUGAGAAAAUUCUUGUAGACACAUUGAAAACACUUCUUUUCAACAGUCAACUAAGUAUCAAGGCUACUUAAUGAUCAAAUCAAGAUCUGCAGACACCACAGCCUGCACACUCUUUCUUAGAAGAUUUUAAUCUUUGUCCUUGUCCUUCAGUGGAGUUUCUUUCCAGAGCAUCUUGGCUUAAUAAAUGCCUUUGAAGAAGGCUUCAGCACAAAUAAAAGAGUACUUGUGCAGCAAUCUUGAUUUCUUAUCAACUGUAUAGUGAUCAGGUGAAGGAAUAAUUUAUUUCAAUCAGCAACACCUGUUUUUAUAAUUGCUCAAGUGCUUAUAAUUCAAUAAUAAAGAGCCAAUUUAACUAUCUUUACUCAGAUAUUAACCUCUGAUAUACAGCAUUAGAAUGAAAUUGCCAUUGGUUAAAUUCCCUUAAGAAAACAAUUACUAUCAUACAUUUAUCCUAUUUUGAUCUGGUUUGUUUCUUAUUUCCUAUUUCCUAUUUCCCUUUUCUUCUAAGAAUAAAAUAUGUUCACAGAUUCUCAGUUGGAAGACCCCCACUGCUAUCCAUUUUCAACUAUAGUCAAAUAUACUUCAUCUCUUAAAAGGUUCAAUUAUUUUAAUUUUUCUUCAUAGUUAUCUUUUUAUGAUUUGCCAUUGUCAGACCAGAAUUACAUUUUAGACAUAUAAUUCAACUGGUGAUUUCCUAUAAUACCUAGAUCCAUUUCUGCAAAACCCCUGCUUAGCCAGGUAUUAUCCCUCCAUUUUUUAUUCCCUUUGUCUUUCCAAUCAAUAUAAAUACUUGUGGUUGUUCUAAAUGUACUGCAGCCAAUCUUUUUUUCCUAGGCAUUCCUCCAUUUUGUGAAGAUUGUUUGUAUUCCAAGCCUGCAUUUCUGCAUUUUUGCAGUUAUUCCCAGCUUUGUGUCAUGUGUUUUUCAAGUUUGCAGGCUCUCCAGCUCAUCUUCCAUACUUCUAAUAAAAAUAUUGAAUACUAAGUGGUCCAAGAGAUAUUUACUGCAGAUCUGUUCUCUAGCACAACUCAUCAUUCUACCUAAAAAAUUAAUAUUACUUAGCUACUAAGAUACCACAUUUCCUUUUUUUUUUUUUUCUUUUUGAAUGAGAUUUUUAUUCUGAAAACAGAAGCAAAGGUAAGUAUGUGAUCUCUACCAUUCCACCACCACCUUUUCCCUUCAGAAAUUAAAUGAGGAAUUUGUAUUUUUAAGUUUCUGGCACUUCCCUCUCUUCUUUGGGUUCUCAAAAACUAUAGCAAAUCUUUUUUGUGACAGAUACUUGACCCAAAGUAGUCCACAGUGGAUGCUUUUUGGCAUAGCUGAUUGGAAAUCUACCAAAUAUAUUCUGUCAAACCUGCUCUAGUAACCUGUUUUAGUCUUUGUCUCAGAUCUGCUAGCCAUUGGCUUGCAGCUGUGAAGAGUAAAGGAAAAAAAAAAAAAAAA
rnacentral:lncRNA from 1 species